GAUGAACGCUGGCGGCGUGCCUAAUACAUGCAAGUCGAGCGAACAGACGAGGAGCUUGCUCCUCUGACGUUAGCGGCGGACGGGUGAGUAACACGUGGAUAACCUACCUAUAAGACUGGGAUAACUUCGGGAAACCGGAGCUAAUACCGGAUAAUAUAUUGAACCGCAUGGUUCAAUAGUGAAAGACGGUUUUGCUGUCACUUAUAGAUGGAUCCGCGCCGCAUUAGCUAGUUGGUAAGGUAACGGCUUACCAAGGCAACGAUGCGUAGCCGACCUGAGAGGGUGAUCGGCCACACUGGAACUGAGACACGGUCCAGACUCCUACGGGAGGCAGCAGUAGGGAAUCUUCCGCAAUGGGCGAAAGCCUGACGGAGCAACGCCGCGUGAGUGAUGAAGGUCUUCGGAUCGUAAAACUCUGUUAUUAGGGAAGAGCAAAUGUGUAAGUAACUAUGCACGUCUUGACGGUACCUAAUCAGAAAGCCACGGCUAACUACGUG
rnacentral:rRNA from 1 species